rnacentral:rRNA from 1 species
CAUAAGCCAGCUUGACUGCGAGCGUGACGGCGCGAGCAGGUGCGAAAGCAGGUCAUAGUGAUCCGGUGGUUCUGAAUGGAAGGGCCAUCGCUCAACGGAUAAAAGGUACUCCGGGGAUAACAGGCUGAUACCGCCCAAGAGUUCAUAUCGACGGCGGUGUUUGGCACCUCGAUGUCGGCUCAUCACAUCCUGGGGCUGAAGUAGGUCCCAAGGGUAUGGCUGUUCGCCAUUUAAAGUGGUACGCGAGCUGGGUUUAGAACGUCGUGAGACAGUUCGGUCCCUAUCUGCCGUGGGCGCUGGAGAACUGAGGGGGGCUGCUCCUAGUACGAGAGGACCGGAGUGGACGCAUCACUGGUGUUCGGGUUGUCAUGCCAAUGGCACUGCCCGGUAGCUAAAUGCGGAAGAGAUAAGUGCUGAAAGCAUCUAAGCACGAAACUUGC